CCAUGCUGGAGCGUUUGGAAAAGCAAAUGUAGGCAUAAGUAACGAUAAUGCAGGCGAGAAACCUGCACACCGAUAGACUAAGGUUUCCUGAGCAAUGCUAAUCAGCUCAGGGUUAGUCGGGGCCUAAGGCAAACCCGAAGGGGGUAGUCGAUGGAUAACGGGUUAAUAUUCCCGUACUGACUGUAAUGAGUGAUGGGGUGACGAAGGCGUGUAACCCUUGCGCACUGACGGAAUAGUGCGUUAAAGGCCGUAGGUAGACUCACCGUAGGAAAAUCCGCGGAGAGUGCUGAAAGCUGAUAGUACUCCAAGGCUUCGGCUGCGGAGAUAAUGGGGCCAAACAUACUUCCAAGAAAACCCUCUAAGCGUUUACAUUACAGCCACCCGUACCGCAAACCGACACAGGUAGUCAAGUGGCAAUCCACUAAGGUGCUCGAGUGAUUCAUGGUUAAGGAACUAGGCAAAUUAGACCUGUAACUUCGGAAGAAGGGUCGCUCCGCAGGAAUGCGGAGCCGCAGUGAAUAGGUCCAGGCGACUGUUUAACAAAAACACAGGGCUCUGCGAAAUCGAAAGAUGAAGUAUAGGGCCUGACACCUGCCCGGUGCUGGAAGGUUAAGGGGGGAUGUUAGGGGGUAACCUCGAAGCAUUGAACUGAAGCCCCAGUAAACGGCGGCCGUAACUAUAACGGUCCUAAGGUAGCGAAAUUCCUUGUCGGGUAAGUUCCGACCUGCACGAAUGGUGUAACGAUCUGGACACUGUCUCAACCAUGAGCUCGGUGAAAUUGUAGUCGCGGUGAAGAUGCCGCGUACCCGUCACGGGACGGAAAGACCCCAUGAACCUUUACUAUAAC
rnacentral:ncRNA from 1 species